rnacentral:rRNA from 1 species
CACACAGUAAACGAUGAAUACUCGCUGUUUGCGAUAUACAGUAAGCGGCCAAGCGAAAGCGUUAAGUAUUCCACCUGGGGAGUACGCCGGCAACGGUGAAACUCAAAGGAAUUGACGGGGGCCCGCACAAGCGGAGGAACAUGUGGUUUAAUUCGAUGAUACGCGAGGAACCUUACCCGGGCUUGAAUUGCAACUGAAUGAUGUGGAGACAUGUCAGCCGCAAGGCAGUUGUGAAGGUGC